AAUGCACCAUUUUCUAAGUCGCUCUGGAUAAGAGCGUCUGCUAAAUGACUUAAA
rfam:Salmo salar isolate Sally breed double haploid chromosome ssa25, whole genome shotgun sequence.